rfam:Myotis brandtii contig153808, whole genome shotgun sequence.
GGCGGUUCUCAGGUGAUGCACCCUGGAAUCAGGCUCCCUCCUCUCUGGUUCUGGGUGUGUCACCCGAGAACUACU